UCUGGCUUGUAUCUGGUGCAUGAAGAAAUGGCUGACACGUUAGUUGCAGUCUACCUCCACCAAUAGACAUCUUGACACCACUUUUAAAUCUGCCCUCAAAGUUACAACCUGCGCUUUCAGGGUGGAAAACAAAGGUCGCCAUCCAGAUUAGCUGCUAUCUCCCAGUUCAAGCACUUUUGCUGUCUGGACACUGGUUCCUGUGGACGGGGUGUUACAAGCUUCACUGUCUGAUAUAGAAGUGAUGAGCAUCCAUAAGGACACAUG